rnacentral:lncRNA from 1 species
GUAAAUGGGUCCACGGGAAUGGAGGGGAAAAAUCCUUUUUUUUUCCUCUACUAAUUGGCUGAUUGGUUGCUCCUCUCUCCUCUCAUUGGUCCCUAUUUUCUCUCCUUGAAACUGAUUGGCUUCUUUCCCACAAGGUGGGAGUUCAAAUAAUUUAAUAAUCUAAAAUGUAAAUAACCAAUUUCAAACGUCCGUAACUAUACUGUUACAAUCCAGACUCUCGAACGGUCUUCUCUUAUGCGUUCGUACCAACGAGUACUACACAAAUACGCCAAAAGAAUAAGUCAUACGUUCCUCUAGAUGAUGAUCAACAGAAGUCAAAAUCCUUACCUCUAGGGCAUUUUCGUCAAUUCCCUCGAUUAAAAUAAAUAAAAACACAAUUUUAGGGACGGGUUGUCACAAGAACCUUAGACACAAGAACCAAGAAUGCUUACAUCACGCAUGUGAUGGAUGCAAUACUGCUCAAACUUAUACUCUAAUACCAAACUGACAUAUCCUGACCUGGAAAGUCCACUUGGACUCCAAAUCGAGUUGUGCCGGUCGACACCAAGAGGGUGACGAAGCCAUAAAGUAUAGUGAUGUGGGAAAAAUGUGAAUAAAUUUAAAUCUAAAAGUGUCUAAAUACGAGAGUGCGAUGUAAGCGGAAAUGAACCAAUUUCACACGUGAUGUCAGAGCAUAAGUAAAGUACAAUAGAGUGGAUUGAGAAUCAUACCAUUGAAGGUAAUCUCCAAUACCAAAAAUUGCCCCGAAUCCUCGUCGAUAAGAUAGCUCAGAUAAAAAAAAUCUAGAGGGUGGAAACCAAGCAAGGGUGAGUGGCCCCUGGAAAUAAAAUUUUAAUAAAAACUUUCUAAAUCGUUAUAACCCCUCAUUGUAACACCUGUAUAGUUUUUUUUUUAAAAAAAAACCAUACCACGUGUCAAUGUAAAAUCAAAAGUAUAUCAACAAUAAAUCCAUAAAUAUACCACGACACAGCAUCUCAUGAGCAAUAUAAAUAAUCAUGUGCUCAAUAAAUCAAUGUUAGCACAUUAGUCGGAGUCACCUAUAGUGACCUGUACGACUCAUCCAUAUCUCAUCAAUCGAUGCUAGCACAUAAGUCGGAGUAUCCUAUAGUGACCUGUACGACUCAUCUAUAUCUCAUCAAUUGAUGCUAGCACAUAAGUCGAAGUCACCUAUAGUGACCUGUACCACUCAUCCAUAUCUCAUAAAUCGAUGCUAGCAUAUAAGUCGGAGUCACAUAUAGUGACCUGUACGACUUAUCCAUAUCUCAUCAAUAGAUGUUAGCACAUAAGUCGGAGUCACCUAUAUUGACCUGUAUGACUCAUCCAUAUCUUAUCAAUCAAUGCUAGCACAUAAGUCGGAGUCACCUAUAUUGACCUGUACGACUCAUCCAUAUCUCAUUAAUCGAUGCUAGCACAUAAGUCGGAGUCACCUAUAGUGACCUGUACGACUCAUCUAUAUCUCAUCAAUCGAUGCUAGCACAUAAGUCGGUGUCACCUAUAGUGACCUGUACCACUCGUCCAUAUCUCAUCAAUCAAUAGUACUGUGUCAACCGGAGUCACCUAAUGUGACAUGUAUGACUGACCCUCAUCCAUCAAUAGUACCAUGUUAGCUAGAGCCACCUAACGUGACUUGUACGGUUGACCCUCAUCACAACUAUACUCACUGCAAUUUCUAUCAUCAAUAAGUACUCACCUGAAGCUUACCUGGGCGUUUGCAAUGUCAUUAGGCAUAACCACUUUAACGUCCUAACAUUCUUAAUCAGAACUAAACCCAGUGAUAGACUAGAAUAAAAUCAUGGUUAAUCUUUAAGCUGUUAACCAUCAUAACUUCUGUCCUUAAUGAAACCAAGUACCAUAUUAAAUUUGGAUUGUUUUAUGGCUGCAUCUAAUUGUCUUGUUAGACUACCUACGUACCCUCAAACGGUAUCAAGCUAUUCGUAGUUCAACUUAUAUGCCGAUAAUAUGCGUAUAGAUAUACCAUAAUGCAAUAUAUAACUCAACCAUACCAUAGUAUUUUAACAUAUAUAUAACAUGGCAUAAAAUGCAUAGAACAAUUUAAAAGCAUUUGUGGAAUUAUCAGUCAUAUCUAUAUACGAUAAAAGGAAAAGACUCACUCACCUGAGGUCCGCCCUACGACUCCCUAGCACGAACAUCGAGAUGUCUCGAAUGAUCCUCACCUAGAACAAUUAUUCAGUCACGUCUCAGAAUUCUUAUCAAUAGAACACAUGCCUUACAUAAAACACAUCUCAAUGACGUUCUAGAAUGAUUUGAGACUCAUUGACCAAAAGUCAACCGUCGGUCAAAGAUCAACGGUAGUGUCCACAACCUUACGUAACUCAAUCCGAAAGAUCCACAUCUCGGAUUUCGGAUCCGUAACUUCCAAAGAUCCACAUUGUACUUCUAAAACAUCAUACUAAAGUUUCAUUACGAUCCAACGGUUGGAUCUCCGCCAAUUGCCAAUUCAAGUGGCAGUCAAUGUUUUAUUUUACGCACUAACAAAUCCAAUUAGGGAAUAUCCAUACGUCAGAUUCCCAAUCUGUAAGUUUCUAAUAUCCUCAAAUAUUACAUACUAUAAUGUAUUAAAGUUUGGUGACGAUCCAACGGUUGGAUUGUCAAUUCACAUAAUGUUCAAGUAGCGGUCUUCAUCAAAACUAAGUUCAAACAAUGAGAUUUCAUCAAUCAGACUUCACCUAUGGAAUUGGGGUGUCAAACUUAGCUUAGAAAGGUCAGGGGUGACUCGGCUCAUGCGCCACUGUACAUAGCGGUCGACCGCCCCAAUUCGCUAGAAAAUUCAACUAUCUCCAAAAAUUCUCAAAUUUUACAAAAAAUGAAGAUCUCAAAGAGUAGAGCAAGUUUUAUACCUGUGGCCAAGUCCAAUUUGGCCGGGAAAGGCUCCAAUUUCACUCAAACCCGCCGGAAACCCUAAGAUGGGUGUUCUUCGAUUCGACUUCCUCGAUCUUCCAACGCACCUAAAACUGAUUGGGUCUUGUUCUUGGGUUCAAGGGGAGUUGAUUAAGGGUGGUGGUGAGUGGUGAAACUCGCCGGAAUGGCAGAAUCACCGUCAAAACUCCAUGGAUCACCCGCAUGGUUUUGCACGAUUUUGGACCUAAAAGCCCUCAACUUUGGUUGGAAAUGGAAGAUGGGAGAUGGUGGAAGAGGUUGCAGGUGAUGGAUAGUUGAAUUUCGCCUGAAAAUGAUGGAGGUGGCCGGAAGCCACUCCAGGUUGGUGCUGGUAAAUGGGUCCACGGGAAUGGAGGGGAAAAAUCUUUUUUUUUUUCCUCUACUAAUUGGCUGAUUGGUUGCUCCUCUCUCCUCUCAUCGGUCCCUAUUUUCUCUCCUUGAAAUUGAUUGGCUUCUUUCCCACAAGGUGGGAGUUCAAAUAAUUUAAUAAUUUAAAAUGUAAAUAACCAAUUUCAAACGUCUGUAACUAUACUGUUACAAUUCGGACUCUCGAACGGUCUUCGCCUAUGCAUUCGUACCAACGAGUACUACACAAAUACGCCAAAAAAUAAGUCAUACGUUCCUCUAGACGAUGAUCAACAGAAGUCAAAAUCCUUGCCUCCAGAGCAUUUUCAUCAAUUCCCUUGAUUAAAAUAAAUAAAAACGUAAUUUUAAGGACGGAUUGUCACACAAAGCAUGUUGGCCAUCACCGUGAGGUGACGUAACCAUAAGGGUAAGUGAUGUGAAAAAGUGAAUAAAUUUACAACUAGCUAGAAUUAAUUAUACUAAACAGUGAAAUAGUGUGCAAUCGUGGGAAUAACCCACUACAAUUAUUCAGAGCUUAAAAGACAGUACAACUACCAAAGAGUAGUCAAAGCAGCUAAAGUACACUUAUUACACAACAGUGAUAAAUUCAUACGUCUAAACUGAAAAGAAUGUUAGAACUUCCGAGAUUCCUCGAGUGCCACGAAGAGUACAACUAUCUAGGUCCUAGAGGGGCGAAAAAUAAAGUUGAGUGGGUCAAAAAAACAAUGCUUAUAAGAAAACCUUUAUUUUUUAAUAUACUAACCCCUCGUCGUAAAAUAAGUAUAGUUUCCUUAAAACCAAACAUACUACCAUAUAAGUAUGAAGAAUCAAGUGCACGCCAACAAUAUAUAUAUCACAGAAAUGUGCCACAACAUGAAUAAUUCAGCCAAAAUAGAAAUAUAGGCAUGUGUUUGACUAUAUACUAACACGCAAGUAUAUACUAACAUCCGUCUAUACUAACACACAAGUCAGAGUCACCUAAUGUGACAUGUACGACAAGCUAGGUAUAAUAAUAUACGCUCUAGUGUUACAAUCAUGUGCAGGUUGCGCUAAGCACAGUCACCUACAAGUCGGAGUCACCUAAUGUGACUUGUAUGAUAGGCUAGCACCUAACUUGAAUCCAAGACGAGUAUACACGUGAAGGCUGGCCCUAGCCCCGAGCGGGAGCACUAACACCUGGGUGUAGUAAUGAUAAGCUAACUAUAUGAAUAUAUGUAUGCUACACAAUUUAAAUCAAUACUGAGCUCACCUGAAUUUACCUGUGCGUCUUGUAGAAACGUUUUAGUAUUCUACCACAAUACCAUAAUUGUAAGCAAGUAAAUAUACGUAUGGACAAGCCAUAACCAUUUUAUAAUUCCAAGCACAAAGCACAUUUACCAAAUUAAACUAAAAUUGGCAUAAUAGGCAUAAAUCAUUUAAAUGCAGUUUAUGGAAACUAUAAGCCAUAUAUAUAUAUAUAUAUAUAUAUAUAUAUAUAUAGAAAUAAACUGCCCACUCACAAGUACAUUGCUGGGUCGUAGCCCCCGAGCCUAGUCUGGCCCCUCAAGUCCUCGGGAUAAGUUUCCUCUAUAUGUGAAAUAACUAUAAUAGAAUUAAUUAAAGCACAUAUAUGGAAACCUAAAUAAAAUCCUCAUAGUUUGCUCAAACAUAGGAUUUAAAUACAUGAAAUCGAUCUACUCGACGUCAUGAACAUCCCCAAAUUUUUAGAAAUAAUUUUGGACCUUGCACGCGCCCCCACGCGC